rnacentral:rRNA from 1 species
UCCUUCGGGAGNNCAUUAAUGGCGAACGGGUGAGUAACACGUGGGCAAUCUGCCCUUCACUCUGGGACAAGCCCUGGAAACGGGGUCUAAUACCGGAUACGACCUCCGACCGCAUGGUCUGGUGGUGGAAAGCUCCGGCGGUGAAGGAUGAGCCCGCGGCCUAUCAGCUUGUUGGUGGGGUGAUGGCCUACCAAGGCGACGACGGGUAGCCGGCCUGAGAGGGCGACCGGCCACACUGGGACUGAGACACGGCCCAGACUCCUACGGGAGGCAGCAGUGGGGAAUAUUGCACAAUGGGCGAAAGCCUGAUGCAGCGACGCCGCGUGAGGGAUGACGGCCUUCGGGUUGUAAACCUCUUUCAGCAGGGAAGAAGCGAGAGUGACGGUACCUGCAGAAGAAGCGCCGGCUAACUACGUGCCAGCAGCCGCGGUAAUACGUAGGGCGCAAGCGUUGUCCGGAAUUAUUGGGCGUAAAGAGCUCGUAGGCGGCUUGUCACGUCGGAUGUGAAAGCCCGGGGCUUAACCCCGGGUCUGCAUUCGAUACGGGCNNGCUAGANUNNGGUAGGGGAGAUCGGAAUUCCUGGUGUAGCGGUGAACUGCGCAGAUAUCANGANNAANNCCGGUGGCGAAGGCGGAUCUCUGGACCGAUACUGACNCUGAGGACCAAAAGCUUGGGGGAGNNAACAA